rnacentral:rRNA from 1 species
AGGACGAACGCUGGCGGCGUGCUUAACACAUGCAAGUCGAGCGGAAAGGCCCUUCGGGGUACUCGAGCGGCGAACGGGUGAGUAACACGUGAGUAACCUGCCCCUAGCUCUGGGAUAGCUCCGGGAAACCGGGAUUAAAUACCAGAUACGACCACUUUAGGCAUCUGUCGUGGUGGAAAGGAUUCCGGCUAGGGAUGGGCUCGCGGCCUAUCAGCUUGUUGGUGGGUAACGGCCUACCAAGGCGACGACGGGUA